CCGUGCGGCGCCCAUCUUUCCUGCUCGAAGAUGGAUAAGCCUUUGUCCCUAUUGCUAGCCCGGACCUUCGCGUCCUACGACUAAGUAUGCAAAGGAAAAUGACAAAGAGAAAGAGGCAGAGGUUCUCUCAAAAAACUAAGUGCUACACUACUUAAAAAUGAGAAUUACAACCUACAAAUAGCAUACAGCAACACACUCAAGCAAGACGGACUCUCUUGCCAGAGUCCGCGACUCCUUGCUCUUGCCGCGCUUGGUUGCCCUGGGCUCAGGCACAACAUCAACGAUGGCAGCUUCCGACGAAGACAUGGUUCCUUCUCGAACCGGCUUUGAUACCAACUGUCACGGCCUUAGCGUUUCUGUUCGCAAAGCCCGUGCGGCGCCCGCCUUCCUGCUCGAAGAUGGGCAAGCCUUCGUCCCUAUUGUUAGCCCGGACCUUCGCGUCCUACGACUAAAUAUGCAAAGGGAAUGAGAGAGAGAGAGAGGCAGAGGUUCACUCAAAAAACUAAGUACUACACUACUUAGAAAAGAGAUUACAACCCACACAUACACACACUCUCUCUUGUGUGUUUUGGCCUUAGCCAAACCCCUCUAUUUAUAGGCCUAAAGGUGCCUUUUCAACUCACCCACACACAUAACUCACCCAUUAUCACAUACAUAAUGAGCCCUCAUAAUGAGCCCUCAUAAAUGCCAAAAGCUCAAGAGUCACCCAUAACUCCCAUGAGUUUCAUAACCCUUGAGUUUCCCACAGCGGGUUGGGUUUGGGCCUCUUUGACAACCCGAUUCGACCCGUCUUCAACCCGAACUCGCUAAGCAGAUUUGGGCCAGGGACCGGGCUGCAUAGAAAUUUUUCUAAGUCCCUAACAUCACGGACUUAGCGUUUUCGUUCGCAAAGCCCGUGCGGCGCCCACCUUUCCUGCUCGAAGAUGGACAAGCCUUUGUCCCUGUUGCUAGCCCGGACCUUCGCGUCCUACGACUAAGUAUGCAAAGGGAAAUGACAAAGAGAAAGAGGCAGAGGUUCUCUCAAAAAACUAAGUACUACACUACUUAGAAAUGAGAAUUACAACCUACAAUUAGCAUACAAAUUAACACACUCUCUCUUGUGUGUCAUGGCCUUAGCCAGCCCCACUAUUUAUAGGCCUAAAUGUGCCUUUUCAACUCACCCACUAGCCACAUUAACUCACUCACUAUUACAUCAAUAAUGAGCCCUCAUAAUGAGCCCUCAUAAAUGCCAAAAGCUCAAGAGUCACCCAUAACUCCCAUGAGUUUCAUAACCCUUGAGUUUCCCACAGCGGGUUGGGUUUGGGCCUACUUGACAACCCGAUUCGACCCGUCUUCAACCCGAACUCGCUAAGCAGAUUUGGGCCAGGGACCGGGCUGUAUAGAAAUUUUUUUAAGUGCCUGACACAUG
rnacentral:lncRNA from 1 species